AGACCCGAAACCCGGUGAUCUAGCCAUGGGCAGGUUGAAGGUUGGGUAACACUAACUGGAGGACCGAACCGACUAAUGUUGAAAAAUUAGCGGAUGACCUGUGGCUGGGGGUGAAAGGCCAAUCAAACCGGGAGAUAGCUGGUUCUCCCCGAAAGCUAUUUAGGUAGCGCCUCGUGAAUUCAUCUCCGGGGGUAGAGCACUGUUUCGGCUAGGGGGCCAUCCCGGCUUACCAACCCGAUGCAAACUGCGAAUACCGGAGAAUGUUAUCACGGGAGACACACGGCGGGUGCUAACGUCCGUCGUGAAGAGGGAAACAACCCAGACCGCCAGCUAAGGUCCCAAAGUCAUGGUUAAGUGGGAAACGAUGUGGGAAGGCCCAGACAGCCAGGAUGUUGGCUUAGAAGCAGCCAUCAUUUAAAGAAAGCGUAAUAGCUCACUGGUCGAGUCGGCCUGCGCGGAAGAUGUAACGGGGCUAAACCAUGCACCGAAGCUGCGGCAGCGACACUGUGUGUUGUUGGGUAGGGGAGCGUUCUGUAAGCCUGCGAAGGUGGCCUGUGAGGGUUGCUGGAGGUAUCAGAAGUGCGAAUGCUGACAUAAGUAACGAUAAAGCGGGUGAAAAGCCCGCUCGCCGGAAGACCAAGGGUUCCUGUCCAACGUUAAUCGGGGCAGGGUGAGUCGACCCCUAAGGCGAGGCCGAAAGGCGUAGUCGAUGGGAAACGGGUUAAUAUUCCCGUACUUGGUGUUACUGCGAAGGGGGGACGGAGAAGGCUAUGUUGGCCGGGCGACGGUUGUCCCGGUUUAAGCGUGUAGGUGUGUGUUCCAGGUAAAUCCGGUUCACUUUAACACUGAGGCGUGACGACGAGGCACUACGGUGCUGAAGCAACAAAUGCCCUGCUUCCAGGAAAAGCCUCUAAGCAUCAGGUAACAUCAAAUCGUACCCCAAACCGACACAGGUGGUCAGGUAGAGAAUACCAAGGCGCUUGAGAGAACUCGGGUGAAGGAACUAGGCAAAAUGGUGCCGUAACUUCGGGAGAAGGCACGCUGACACGUAGGUGAAGUGAUUUACUCAUGGAGCUGAAGUCAGUCGAAGAUACCAGCUGGCUGCAACUGUUUAUUAAAAACACAGCACUGUGCAAACACGAAAGUGGACGUAUACGGUGUGACGCCUGCCCGGUGCCGGAAGGUUAAUUGAUGGGGUCAGCGCAAGCGAAGCUCCUGAUCGAAGCCCCGGUAAACGGCGGCCGUAACUAUAACGGUCCUAAGGUAGCGAAAUUCCUUGUCGGGUAAGUUCCGACCUGCACGAAUGGCGUAAUGAUGGCCAGGCUGUCUCCACCCGAGACUCAGUGAAAUUGAACUCGCUGUGAAGAUGCAGUGUACCCGCGGCAAGACGGAAAGACCCCGUGAACCUUUACUAUAGCUUGACACUGAACAUUGAGCCUUGAUGUGUAGGAUAGGUGGGAGGCUUUGAAGUGUGGACGCCAGUCUGCAUGGAGCCGACCUUGAAAUACCACCCUUUAAUGUUUGAUGUUCUAACGUGGACCCGUUACCCGGGUUGCGGACAGUGUCUGGUGGGUAGUUUGACUGGGGCGGUCUCCUCCUAAAGAGUAACGGAGGAGCACGAAGGUUGGCUAAUCCUGGUCGGACAUCAGGAGGUUAGUGCAAUGGCAUAAGCCAGCUUGACUGCGAGCGUGACGGCGCGAGCAGGUGCGAAAGCAGGUCAUAGUGAUCCGGUGGUUCUGAAUGGAAGGGCCAUCGCUCAACGGAUAAAAGGUACUCCGGGGAUAACAGGCUGAUACCGCCCAAGAGUUCAUAUCGACGGCGGUGUUUGGCACCUCGAUGUCGGCUCAUCACAUCCUGGGGCUGAAGUAGGUCCCAAGGGUAUGGCUGUUCGCCAUUUAAAGUGGUACGCGAGCUGGGUUUAGAACGUCGUGAGACAGUUCGGUCCCUAUCUGCCGUGGGCGCUGGAGAACUGAGGGGGGCUGCUCCUAGUACGAGAGGACCGGAGUGGACGCAUCACUGGUGUUCGGGUUGUCAUGCCAAUGGCACUGCCCGGUAGCUAAAUGCGGAAGAGAUAAGUGCUGAAAGCAUCUAAGCACGAAACUUGCCCCGAGAUGAGUUCUCCCUGAGACUUAAAGUCUCCUGAAGGAACGUUGAAGACGACGACGUUGAUAGGCCGGGUG
rnacentral:rRNA from 1 species